UACGUAGGUGGCAAGCGUUGUCCGGAUUUAUUGGGCUUAAAGGGUGCGUAGGCGGUCUUUUAAGUCAGUGCUGAAAUACUCCAGCUUAACUGGAGGGGUGGCAUUGAUACUGGAAGACUUGAGUGUAGUCGAAGUAGGCGGAAUUGACGGUGUAGCGGUGAAAUGCUUAGAUAUCGUCAAGAACACCGAUAGUGAAGACAGCUUACUAGGCUACAACUGACGCUGAGGCACGAAAGUGUGGGGAGCAAACAGG
rnacentral:rRNA from 1 species